rnacentral:rRNA from 1 species
AGCGAACGCUGGCGGCAGGCCUAACACAUGCAAGUCGAACGGAUCCUUCGGGAUUAGUGGCGGACGGGUGAGUAACACGUGGGAACGUGCCCUUUGGUUCGGAACAACUCAGGGAAACUUGAGCUAAUACCGGAUGUGCCCUUCGGGGGAAAGAUUUAUCGCCAUUGGAGCGGCCCGCGUCUGAUUAGCUAGUUGGUGAGGUAACGGCCCACCAAGGCGACGAUCAGUAGCUGGUCUGAGAGGAUGAUCAGCCACACUGGGACUGAGACACGGCCCAGACUCCUACGGGAGGCAGCAGUGGGGAAUCUUGCGCAAUGGGCGAAAGCCUGACGCAGCCAUGCCGCGUGAAUGAUGAGGGUCUUAGGAUUGUAAAAUUCUUUCAGCGGGGACGAUAAUGACGGUACCCGCAGAAGAAGCGCCGGCUAACUUCGUG